CUGAUUACAAAAAAAGUAAUAUACGAAAAUUUCGUCUAAUUUGAUGUACACCGCAUCAACUGUGAAGUGGCGUCCCCGUUAGUAAUGGUAAACUAUAUAACAGAGUCAAAGACAAGAAGAAAGAGGAAAGGUGAUAGUCAUUAAGGUACCCUUCAUACCCCUGUCUUCUUCUUCUUCAGAUGAUCCUACAACUAUCACGUGUGGGUUUUUUUAAACGCCAUGUUUUUGUGCACAGAGUUAAAGAAAUCAGCUUCUAAGGUGACAACAGAUAUAAUAGUGUCUCAUUGAUUUUUUUUUAUUUAUAAGACUAGAGAGGAAACCUGCCUCUAGGUCAUGUAACUUGAUACUACAUGUAACUGCUUUUAUAUCUGAAAUGGAUCUGUUUAUGACCUUACGCGGUCUUAAGUAGUUGUAACAUUAUACUAUGAAGG